UCUAUCAGUUAUGGAUGGAUGAAGACUCCCAAACAGCUCCACAGACCAGGGCAGAACACAAAAUUCAGACCUCCCCUGCAUUUCUUCUUACCUGGCGGAGGCGGGAGUUUUUCCUUCACCCAGUCACUUCUCAUCAGAAGGUCAUUAUGGAGAAGUAAUGUCCGAAUGUGUGCGGAGAAACCGUUGUGAAGUGCAGCCGUUCGGAUACUCUCUCCCACCAACUACCUACAAUCAAAUCCAGCAGCUAAGAAGCAGUUUCAAGUAGAUUACACUCUUGUAAUGUGAACCAAGUACCUCGGUGAGAAAGACGUGAGAACCCACCAAAGGGCAUUCCACUUGCACAGAAGAGAGAUGGAG